rnacentral:lncRNA from 1 species
UAUAUAAGUUGGUUUGCUUCCCAUGGAGAUAGUCAAGUGCUGCCAGAUUCCUCUCCUGACUGCUGCAACGACUAUGGUCUCCUCUCAAGUCUGAUCGUUAUUUCUUAGAAAUUGUCGCUUUGAGCAUACAAAGAUAUAUAUCCUUCUUCUUGAGAAAUUAGCUUGCUUCUCAUUCAGAUCUAAUUCAUAUAAAUUCUACUCGUAAAGUCUCAGGUAUGGUCGCUUGCUAGCUUUGAAGAUACAUAGAUAGAUAUUUUCCUUCUUGCCCACAUUUUUUUUAUUUUUUUAUAUUUUUUAGAGAAGCAUUUUCUACAGCGUAUUUUACAUUCUCUACAUAUAUAUAUAUAGUAGUAAAGUCUAUAACAACUCAUUGUUUGAGUUUUUCUCAAAUGAAUUUAAUUUUUCUCUCUUUCAGAAGUGUUUUGAAUUAACUUCAAUUUUUUCUAAGAUUAUUUUUUAUCCUUCACUCUUUCAGAUCUGGUUCUGCUCAUUGUUUGGUUAAUGCUUAAGC